rnacentral:rRNA from 1 species
UAAGGAAUAUUGGUCAAUGGGCGGAAGCCUGAACCAGCCAUGCCGCGUGCAGGAUGACUGCCCUAUGGGUUGUAAACUGCUUUUGUCCAGGAAUAAACCUAGAUACGUGUAUCUAGCUGAAUGUACUGGAAGAAUAAGGAUCGGCUAACUCCGUGCCAGCAGCCGCGGUAAUACGGAGGAUCCGAGCGUUAUCCGGAUUUAUUGGGUUUAAAGGGUGCGUAGGCGGCCUAUUAAGUCAGGGGUGAAAUACGGUGGCUCAACCAUCGCAGUGCCUUUGAUACUGAUGGGCUUGAAUCCAUUUGAAGUGGCGGAAUAAGACAAGUAGCGGUGAAAUGCAUAGAUAUGUCUUAGAACUCCGAUUGCGAAGGCAGCUCACUAAGCUGGUAUUGACGCUGAUGCACGAAAGCGUGGGAUCGAACAGGAUUAGAUACCCUGGUAGUCCACGCCCUAAACGAUGAUAACUCGAUGUUGGCGAUAGACAGCCAGCGUCCAAGCG